CAGUAGCCACGGUAAUACGGAGGGUGCAAGCGUUAAUCGGAAUUACUGGGCGUAAAGCGCACGCAGGCGGUCUGUCAAGUCAGAUGUGAAAUCCCCGGGCUUAACCUGGGAACUGCAUUUGAAACUGGCAGGCUAGAGUCUUGUAGAGGGGGGUAGAAUUCCAGGUGUAGCGGUGAAAUGCGUAGAGAUCUGGAGGAAUACCGGUGGCGAAGGCGGCCCCCUGGACAAAGACUGACGCUCAGGUGCGAAAGCGUGGGGAGCAAACAGGAUUAGAUACCCCUGUAGUCCCUGUCUCUUAUCC
rnacentral:rRNA from 1 species